AGGAUUUGCGAUGCAUAACUGCCUCAAAUCAAAACCUGUCUCCAUUGGGUUGAGAAUAAGAAAAACCAAACAUCGCACUCCGUCUCGCCUCCUCCACCAACGGAAAUUAUAUCCAUAACAGAGUAAGGUGAGAAGAAAUCAGGAAUCAUACCACACAAUCAUAGAAUACAGGAUUAAGGUGAAUCUGAUUAUAAAGAUACAAUGAUAG